GCCCGGUGGUGACCGGGGCGGCACCGGUGCUGCGAGGAGAUAAGGGAAGAAAAGAUGUGGCUGCGAUGUGUAUUUACAGACUUACUUCAGCUAGCGGAAAGCUCAGGGAGCAGCGGCCAGGGCUCAGCUGCGCUGAGGGGACUGCCCCACCUGCAGCAACAGCAUCACCAGCGGCACGGCGUGGGCAAACCAGGACCUCUUGUGCAAGAAGGAAAAUGAGCUGGAAAAUGAGAAGGAAAAACCAGCUGGAUUAACGGGGAAAACCAGCUGGAUUAAUGAGAAUUGCUUGUCGUUCCCCGCGAGGGGCCCUGGGGCCCCGAACCCCGAGGGGACAGCCCGACCGGAGCAGCGGUGGAUCCCCGGCGCUUCCCGCCCCGGAGCACGGACGGGAAAAUUGAGAGGAAAAAAGGUCCCCAGGCAGUGUGCACUGACAUUUCCAUGAAAUGCAGCCAACACGAGUCUCACCUCUAGGCACAAACGCAGAAAUUUUAAAAGCGGUUUUGUGCACACUGAACUCAACACAUACUUUCCUACUUCUCUGAUCGUCCACCACACUUCCCUUUACAAUGCUUGCAGUUGGAAUAGUACUGCCUUUAAUAGACAUAAUGAUAUUUCUGCUUAUAUUGUUCUAGACUUUGCAGGGUUUCUUACAGAAAAAAAAUAGAUUUAUGUACAAACAUAGACAAAAGCUCAAAAUAAUGAGUUUUUCCAUGUUAAUCAAAAGUUUGGACAAAGCCAGAGAAUUGUUUUUCUCUUUCUUGCAAUGCAGGACAAUCAUUCAAUACCAUUUUUAGUGUCUGUAAAUUGAAUAAAUUGUUAUGUUGGUUUCA